CCCUUAGAUGUUCUGGGCCGCACGCGCGCUACACUGAUGCAUUCAACGAGUUUUACCUUGGCCGAGAGGCCUGGGCAAUCUUUUAAACCUGCAUCGUGAUAGGGAUAGAUUAUUGCAAUUAUUAAUCUUGAACGAGGAAUUCCUAGUAAACGCAAAUCAUCAAUUUGCAUUGAUUACGUCCCUGCCCUUUGUACACACCGCCCGUCGCACCUACCGAUUGAAUGGUCCGGUGAGGCCUCGGGAUUGUGGCCAGCUUCCUUCAUUGGGAGUUGGCUGCGAGAACUUGUCCAAACCUUAUCAUUUAGAGGAAGGUGAAGUCGUAACA
rnacentral:rRNA from 1 species